GUUUAGAUACCAGUGACUGACCAUUCAGUGCAGAAGUGUGGUUUACAUUAAUUUCACUGACCCUGAAUCUCUGCCUAUUAAAAGUCGAGAUACGUGCUAAAUAAUUCAAGAGUUCACAUGAUACGUUUAUUAUGGAUAUCAUUGUUACCUUCAACUGUAGGAAAAUGCCGCAGAGAAAAAGAAAAAUUCCGAAAGAAAGCAGGUCGUAUGCAUUUGUUGCAUGGAGGUCACCACAAGUUCAUCGAAUUAUCUUGAGACUCACAUGAAAUGCAGUUUCGUUACUCUUCGGGACAUAAGUUGGCAGCAGAUGUAAAUAACUGCUCAGAAAACCAGAUGUUUGUGAAAGGCGAGAAGAUAUUGAAAACGAACCUUCUAUGCGUUAAAUCAAGGCUGUAUGAGUUGAACAUUAUUAUAUGUCGGUAUACACCAAGGAAGAUGAGAAAGGGAACAGGCGAUAAUUUGAACAAUUAUAAUUUAUGAUAACCGAGACAAACUCCUGUCUUUUAUUCUUUCUUUCCACAACCGGAUUACCGGAACUCAUAAAAUCAAUUGGAGUAAUUGCGCUCGUAUUGAUUCCCGCUGAGACAUGAUGGUCAUUUCCCGUAGUUUCUAUGGACAAUGAUAUCGAUGAAAAGUUGAAACAAAGCGUUGGAAUCAGCCAGUGGCUAUUUUUAAAAUCUAUUGAUCACGAGAGAGAUCAUCUUUGCGAAUGCAAAGCGUAGAUCAUCCGCAUUCGUACGAUAAGAGAAUGCGACGCUUAUAACGAAGGUUUAUCUUUAGAUGGAGCGGCAUAAACAUACAAUGGGCAAUACCGAAACUAAUGAGGAAAUUAAUUUAAAUAAAGAGAGGCCCAAUCGGCGCCAUUCUUGCAUAACGAUCGAUGCUGCUUUUCCGAUACGUGCCACGAAUGCUGUAUAUACUUCUGAAAUUCUUCUCCGAGGUAUGCUCAAAUUUAAAAUAGUCGAAAUGUGAUAGUUGUAGCGCAAUUUCGUCGAAAUUACAAGUUUGUAAUCAAAAUAUUGAUAUUAUUGUACUGAAGCUUUCAAUGCACGAUGAAAUAAAAUUUGUGAAAAUUGGGAGGGCAUUUAUUAUAUAUACAGGGAUCUUUAUCAAUGUUCAAAUUAGUUAAGGACUAAAUUUAAAAUAAUUUAGUGCUCAGUAGUAGAUAUUUGUAUCUACAACUUUGACGUCAAAGAAAAAGGGUUUUUUAGGGUUAUUAAUAUGGAAAUGACGACAAUGACCUUUGAACUUCUGGGUAUAGAUGGAAGAUUACUAUACCUCCCUAAAUUCAGAAUAAAGUGUUAGCUACAGCGUGACAAGUAGGGGCCAGAAGUUACGAUUUCGCUUUGUGAUAAAUAUAGGUAUGUAAUAAUUAGGACCACUGAGGACAAAAUAACCAAUUGAUAAUUUAGUUUCACCUAUUUUUUUAGUAAUACAGAAGUUAUAAAUAAUUUAGAACAAUUCACAAUUACUAUAAAUUAAAUUUUUCCAAAUUAACCACUGGAAAUAAAAGAUAUUAAAUACAUGAUAGUAUCUUUUAAAUCUUUUAAAUUUAAAUUAUCGGAAGAAAGAUAAGAAUCAACAUAAUAAAAUGUUAAUUUCUUCCAUACGUAUGUUAUUGUAUAUAUAAUUCAAAUAUAAAUACUAUGUUUUAAAUAUUUCUUUAGAGUUAUAUUAUAAAGUACUUGAUUAGUUAUCUGAUGCAAUCUAUUCGAAUUAUCAAUAUUUAAGUAGAAUAUAUAUUUCCUACUUUUUUUCGGAGAAGUAUUCAUAUCGGAAACUCAUGAUCUUUUUCUAAAUCUGAUUAGAAUGAGCGACGAAAUAUUAAAACUUCAUCACAUUGGAAAAGGGCCAACAAGAAUAUAAUUAGAUGAUGAAUUGAUCAUCCUUCUGAUAAACUUUGAUAUCUUAAUUAGAUUCUAUGAAACGAAUUCCUAUUAAUAUCUUUCAUAUUAUUUUUUUUCCUCCUUUAAAA